rnacentral:lncRNA from 1 species
UUAAAUAAUUUGGGGUAGAAAAAGGGGUGUUACAGAGUUACUCUGGUUUCAUCUGACACACGGAUUAUUAUUUGCUUAUUUUAGCUUGGUUGAGGCUUAGUCCAAAGGAAGGAAUUCUUUCUUGACUUAUGUCAUAAAGCUUGCUAUUUUCUUGAUUAGAUCUUUCCUCCCUAGCUUUUACUUUAUGCUCUAGGAUAGUCUCUUCUUCUCCUCCCCUUCUUUAAUUUUC